rnacentral:rRNA from 1 species
UACGGGGGGGGCAAGCGUUGUUCGGAAUUACUGGGCGUAAAGGGCUCGUAGGCGGCCAACUAAGUCGGAUGUGAAAUCCCCAGGCUCAACCUGGGAACUGCAUCCGAUACUGGAUGGCUUGAAUUCGGGAGAGGGAUGCAGAAUUCCAGGUGUAGCGGUGAAAUGCGCAGAUAUCGGGAAGAACACCCGUGGCGAAGGCGGUUCUCUGGGACGGUACUGACGCUGAGACGCGAAAGCGUGGGGAGCGAACAGG